rnacentral:rRNA from 1 species
CCUACGGGAGGCAGCAGUGGGGAAUUUUGGACAAUGGGGGCAACCCUGAUCCAGCAAUGCCGCGUGAGUGAAGAAGGCCUUCGGGUUGUAAAGCUCUUUUGUCAGGGAAGAAAAGGACUGGGUUAAUACCCUGGUUUUAUGACGGUACCUGAAGAAUAAGCACCGGCUAACUACGUGCCAGCAGCCGCGGUAAUACGUAGGGUGCGAGCGUUAAUCGGAAUUACUGGGCGUAAAGCGUGCGCAGGCGGUUGUGUAAGACAGAUGUGAAAUGCCCGGGCUUAACCUGGGAAUUGCAUUUGUGACUGCACGGCUAGAGUGUGUCAGAGGGGGGUAGAAUUCCACGUGUAGCAGUGAAAUGCGUAGAUAUGUGGAGGAAUACCGAUGGCGAAGGCAGCCCCCUGGGAUAACACUGACGCUCAUGCAC